rnacentral:tRNA from 1 species
GAUUCCAUAGUGUACUGGUUAGCACGUCUGCUUUACAUGCAGAAAUUCUGGGUUCAUGCCCCAGUGGAGCUA